GGUCGUGUAGCUGAGCAGGCCUGGGGCUUGGUUCUAUGUCCCUGUAGUCCUCCUGGAUUGCAUUUAUGGAAGUUUAUACGAGACCUAGUUUCCAUGGAGGAACUCACUGAUUCCGCGAGGGAGAUGGGGUACUGGAUGAUGGUCUUCAGCCUUAAGGGUACUUCAGUCUUCACUGUGUGUUAUAAAGUUUGAAAGGGAGGGUUCCCUAUGAAUAAGAAGCGCACUUGAAAGAACAGCCCUCUGGUCUAACUUCUCACUGGUGCUUCAGAGGAGGAUAAAAGGUCGCAGCUAUGUUUCCAGUGUCCUCUGGGUGUUUCCAAGAGCAACAAGAAACGAAUAAAUCUCUGCCCCGCAGCGCCUCCACCCCAGAGACCCGGACCAAGUUCACACAGGACAAUCUGUGCCACGCCCAGCGCGAGCGCCUGGACUCGGCCAACCUGUGGGUGCUGGUGGACUGCAUCCUUCGCGACACCUCCGAGGACCUGGGACUCCAGUGUGACGCCGUGAACCUGGCCUUCGGGCGCCGCUGUGAGGAACUGGAGGACGCGCGGCACAAGCUGCAGCACCACCUGCACAAGAUGCUGCGGGAAAUCACAGAUCAGGAACACAACGUGGUGGCACUGAAGGAGGCCAUCAAGGACAAGGAGGAACCUCUGCACAUAGCCCAGACCCGGCUGUAGUUGCUCUCACACCGGCCCAACAUGCAGCUGUGCCGCGAUGCAGCCCAGUUCAGCCCCAGCUCACACCCCCCAACACCCCCAAGCUGGUGAGUGAGGUGGAGGAGCUGUACAAGUCCAUCACAGCGCUGCGGGAGAAGCUUCUACAAGCGGAGCAGUCCCUGCGCAACCUCAAGGACAUCCACAUGAGCCUGGAGAAGGACGUCACUGCCAUGACCAACAGUCUCUUCAUCGACCGCCAGAAGUGCAUGGCCCAUCGUACUUGCUACCCCACCAUUCUGCAGCUGGCUGGCUACCAGUGAGCAGCGGCACGGUGCUUCCCCCCAAUCCCCCAAAUAAACAGUGCGUUAGCUUUCUGCA
ensembl:lncRNA TEKT4P2 tektin 4 pseudogene 2